GAGAAUGAAAGACCACUUGUUUUUUAUAGAAAACUUUAUCCAUCACUACCCUUUGCCUUAAACUGCACCUAAUGUGUAUCAAUUCCUAAAAUAAUAUUUUUUUUUUAAUUAUUAUUGCAACCACCCUGUCAAUUUCCCCCUACGCAGCGUUUCUCGAAGUGUGGGGAAAGCCCAACUGGUGGGUCGCAGAGACGUGACAGGUGGGGCGCAAAUGGAGAUGAGCAGGAGAUUUUCCCGUUGCAAUGCUUUCCUUUAUAGACAGUAACGAUAAUAUACCCCCAUGCACUAAACAACCACACUCAAACAAAGAAAUAUUGUAUUGUUAGAAACAAUGGCAGGGCAGAGCACACGGAUAAUCCAUAAUCAGCAUCUUGGCAAAUUGAGAGACUGCGGCCUGCGGGAUAAAGCAUUCCAUAUUUAAAACAUCUUAAUAAGUAGUGAAGUCAACGUGUCUGCUUCACAUGAUGGAGAAGUUCGUUUAUUGACACAUCUUUUAAGGACGGCCACAGCGCUUUAAACCGAAGUGUUUAUAAGUUACAUUAUUCAAAGAUGGAAGGUUGGUCAGUAAUCAGUCUAGAGAGAUAACUGAACAAAACUCUACUCACGCUUGCCUCAAGGGUGCAAUACCAUAUGCCGUUUAAUCAAAUUUGAUAGAAUGAAGGACAAAUGAGUUGUGAAUACUAUCACCGAGUUUGAAAGGUAUUGGUCCGGUAAAAGCGGAGUGACAGCUGUGUGUUUUCUGUGUGUUUUAAGCAAAUACAAUGUGUGUGCGCCGAAUUGCGUAGAGGCAGAGAGCGGUAUUGCAGAAAAAUUAUAGCUCCCAACAUAUUGAAAAAAAGAACUCCAAUUUUUGGAGCUGUGAACUUAGUUAAAAAUUUUGAAUUAUAAACUAUGAACUGAACUAGUUAAUUUAAAAAUUGAACUUUCCCAACACUGGAACAUGUCUGCUUCAUAUAUGCAGAAGUUCGUUUUUGAGAGUAAAAUAAAUCACAUUUAGGAUAAUAGCCUUCUUCCUGUGUGCCAGAAUUAGUUUAUGACCUAGCUCUGACAACACGGUUACAGGAGGCAAACUGGUAUGGAAGAAGUUAAAAAGAAACUGUCAUCUGGAGAAUUUAAAACAAUACAAAACGAGGGGAAAUCUACUGUAUGGAGAUAUUUCUGCUUAGUAGUCAAUGCGGAUUCUAUGGAUUAAACCUUGAUUGUUGGACUAUGUAGAUCGUUUCAUAACGAACUUUGUGCACUUA
ensembl:lncRNA